rnacentral:rRNA from 1 species
UACGGGGGGGGCAAGCGUUGUUCGGAAUUACUGGGCGUAAAGGGCUCGUAGGCGGCCAACUAAGUCGGACGUGAAAUCCCCAGGCUCAACUUGGGAACUGCGUCUGAUACUGGAUGGCUUGAAUUCGGGAGAGGGAUGCAGAAUUCCAGGUGUAGCGGUGAAAUGCGUAGAUAUCAGGAGGAACACCGGUGGCGAAGGCGGGUCUCUGGGCCGAUACUGACGCUGAGGAGCGAAAGCGUGGGGAGCGAACAGG